rnacentral:tRNA from 1 species
CAUUAAAUGACUGAAGUAAGUUUUGAUUUUUUAAAUCAAAUAUAGUAAAUUAACACAUACUUUUAAUGA